GGGGCUGACCGGUUUUGACAGCAAGGAAGUGGUAUUGUAAGCAUGCCGGGUGUUGUGUGUUAACCCGUAAUAACAAUGCUCACGCCACAAUAAAUGGCAACGAUUACGAUUACGCGUUAGCCGCUUAGUCAGGACGAUUAAGCCGCUUUCUGCUUCCCGCGAAACCUUUCUGGACGGUGUUGCGGCAGAAGCAUCGAAAAUGUCUGGAUAGAAAAAGUUUUGUUCCGCGGCUUUUUUGAAAUAACAGGGACUAAGGUUGAAGUAGGUUGGCUUUUCGCCAGCUUCAUCCCGACAAAAUAAGAAAAGCUAAGCAUGUAGAAAGCAUUAUUGCUGCUUGUUUGGACCAGGGUUCGACUCCCUGCAGCUCCACCU
rnacentral:tmRNA from 1 species